GAAGAGAAGAGAUGUUGGGAGACCUACAACUCAUGUUAGCUGAGGUGUGUGGUACAGCGUGUCCACUUUCCCUUUUCUUUUGAGUGAAUGUUUGUCGUUGGGGAACAUGACCGUGGUCUGAAGGAAAAAAGAAGCCAAUCCAGUAGUGGAAUGACGUGAACUAAAAGGCCUGUACACCUUUUCUGAAAGACAGGGAUGAACUCCUGUGUUCAAAGGCUGGCUGCGACGCGGAAUGACACGUGCAAAGAAAAGGCACAAUGAUUGGCAGCCACCGGUACUGUGAAAACACAUCGGCUUGAGUCAACACCUGUCUUAACAAAAUGUUUUCAUUCAGCCUCGAAAUGCAUAGAUAUGUAAAUGUGGGUGGGUGGGGGUGACUAUAACCAGGGAACUUUUACUACGGCGUGUAAUUAAAUAUUUCCCAGUGCAAAAUAAAGAUAAGGACUCCAUUAGGCCCUUAAAACAUUCCAGGAUAAUGGAUUUUUGGUGGUUGAUGGAGCGGCUCAUGUGGGACAGGUGGGAUUUACUCCCAGGCUCCGUCGGCGUGGCGACAGCAGCCAGCGCCAAGGCAUCUCGCGUGGUAAUCCGCCACCGGAGAAGAAGUCAGCGGCAUUUGAUGCACCAUUGGCACCGCAGGCAAAUGAGAUUACAGAGAGAGGGAAUGGAAUUGACUCUCUCGUUGACAGAUUUACAGAUCCCGCUGGAUAGAAUACAGGCAAAAGGGCUG